ACUUAGCGAAGAUGGCUUACAUGAGGCCCCCGAGCAGCAGCGCUGCUGCCGGCGAUGAACAGCGCGGCCCAUCCAAAGGCUUUGUGGUGAGGGAGGCUCCCUGGACUAACACCAAUGAGAAGGCUCCUGACAUGAGCAGCUCUGAAGACUUCCCGAGCUUCGUAGCCCCUGUGGCCGCAAAGGCCUCACCCUGGGGACCAAAGCGCUUCUAAGCCGUGCUGCUUAUUACGUCGGCCUGAACCCGAAUCGGACACAAUCUUCCCUCUACCCAAGUCAUUUCCCCCCCUUGCCUCCCUCCCUCCCUCCCUCCCAGCCACUCCACCUCUGACUGGACUGACCGCUGACCCCUUUCUCUUCAUUCCUCUUGAUCAGCCCUCCCACAUUCAUCCGUCUCAAAGUGCUGUCGGAUACUGUAAUUGACUCGUGAGCUUUGUGUCCUGCAUUAUAUAAGAAUAAGGUUUCAUAAGGAGGACAAAACUAGGCAGGUGCAGUGGUGAAGUCAGUCUGUGAAAGACUGUGUGUAGACGUUGCUUAAAGCUAACAUUUCAUUGUGGGUCGAACUGUCAAAUCAAAUUCAGCGGUGGCCAGACUUCGAUGUGUUUCUUUGAGCUGCCCUUCUCUUAGUUGCCUUCGCAGGUCGGGCUGAAGGGGUUGAAUUAGCGCCGGCGACGUACUGAGACACACCGGCGGUUGUUCGAGCAUCCCUCCUCCCACCUGCUUUUAUCCAUGUAGCCAAGUGAAAACUGUCUGGUCAUUGAACCCUUCCCUUUCAAGCACAGUGUAGUGGUUGUCCUCCGUCGGCGUCCUUCCGUUUGCUUCUGACUGUGCUUGUGAGAACAUGGGUGAGUAGCGGCAUGUACCUUGUAGCCUUAUGAAUGGGGCAUAACUACAAAACGGGGCGUGGGGAUCGGAGGGACGUGUUCAGCCACUUGCAGAGAGGCACCUGCUCUAACUGCCAGAUGCUCGGAGAUCGCGCCAAAACUUGAAGAGAAAAAAACGGGAGGAAGAAGAAAACAAGGAAAUUGAAAAAAAAAAAAAAAAAAGAAACUCUUACAACACUAGGCCUAGAGCUCCAGUGCAUCACAGCCUCACACUAACUGUUCAAUGGACUGUUUUCCACAUA